UGACAUAAGCUAAGAAUAGGGAUUCCAUUCAGGAUGGAAUGAAAAUGAAAUCAAGACUGGACCAAAAUAUCCCCUCUUCAUCUCGUUCGCUCGCUCACUUUCCUCAAUUACUUUCCCGAAAUUGAAACUUGCGUUUGAAAUCAACCACUUGUAGAGGCUCGUUUGCUUGCUUCCAAUUGUUCAUUCUGAUUGAAAGAGUCGUAAAGAAGCUUGUCAAUUCAGACAUCGUAGUUUCCCUUAUUAUAACUAACUUACUUCCAUAUACGCAAAAGAGUGAGUCAUUAGGAAAGAUGCCCAAACAACUGCUGAUAUUGUUGAAAAAAUAGAUGCUGAGGAUGUAGCUACUUCAAAGAAUCUUGAAGAAGAAAGCAAUGACCAUAAAUACGAAGCUGAUGUUUGCUUGGAUGAGAUGGAUGUCUCAGCUACACAAUCGCAACUAUUGAAGCCAAACUAAGAUGAUUCCACAUUUUCAAAGAAGAAUUUUGAUGUAAGUGAACAAAUUUCUUGUGCUUCACUUAUUGAUGCUGCCACAUUAUUAGGGGAAAACAUACGGACUAUUGACCUUGAACUAAGUAGGACCAUUGCCUCUGAAGUACUAAUUCAAGAGAAGAAAAAAAUGCUAAUUCAAGAAAAUGUCCAAAAAUUAUAUCUAGCCUUAGGUGAAGCAGAAGUAUUAACUGAGUAUGAUCUCUUUCUUGCGUUAAGCAAAAAUCCAAACUAUCCAACAUAAGUGCUCAUUUUUAAGUCUACCUUCUUCUUUGCUAUUGGAAUGAGUGAGAAGAUUUAUUUCUACCUAUUAAAAAUCAUCGUUGUGUUGGUGAUGUUUUGGUAACUUUUUAUAUAUGUAAUAUUUGGAUGAUAUAAUGACAUGAUAGAAUGCCACAGACUGUUGUAACUUUUUGAUGUUGUAAAAUUUAACAUAUAGAUUAUGACAUAUAGCUAAUAGCAUCAUGUAACUUUUAGUUAA